rnacentral:rRNA from 1 species
GCGAACGCUGGCGGCAGGCUUAACACAUGCAAGUCGAGCGGGCACCUUUCGGGGUGUCAGCGGCGGACGGGUGAGUAACGCGUGGGAACGUGCCCUCUGGUUCGGAAUAACUCAGGGAAACUUGAGCUAAUACCGGAUACGCCCUUUUGGGGAAAGGCUUGCUGCCGGAGGAUCGGCCCGCGUCUGAUUAGCUAGUUGGUGAGGUAACGGCUCACCAAGGCGACGAAGGUAGCUG